UACGUAGGGCGCGAGCGUUGUCCGGAAUUAUUGGGCGUAAAGAGCUCGUAGGCGGCCUGUCGCGUCGGUUGUGAAAGCCCGGGGCUCAACCCCGGGUCUGCAGUCGAUACGGGCAGGCUAGAGUUCGGUAGGGGAGAUCGGAAUUCCUGGUGUAGCGGUGGAAUGCGCAGAUAUCAGGAGGAACACCGAUGGCGAAGGCAGAUCUCUGGGCCGUAACUGACGCUGAGGAGCGAAAGCAUGGGGAGCGAACAGG
rnacentral:rRNA from 1 species